rnacentral:rRNA from 1 species
GACGGAGGGGGCUAGCGUUGUUCGGAAUUACUGGGCGUAAAGCGCACGUAGGCGGCCUUUCAAGUCGGACGUGAAAGCCCCGGGCUUAACCCGGGAAUUGCGUUUGAUACUGUUGGGCUUGAGACCGGGAGAGGAUAGCGGAAUUCCCAGUGUAGAGGUGAAAUUCGUAGAUAUUGGGAAGAACACCGGUGGCGAAGGCGGCUCUCUGGACCGAUACUGACGCUGAGGUGCGAAAGCGUGGGGAGCAAACAGG